rnacentral:rRNA from 1 species
UACGUAGGUGGCGAGCGUUGUCCGGAUUUACUGGGCGUAAAGAGCGCGCAGGCGGUCGUUCAAGUCGCGUGUGAAAGCCCCCGGCUCAACUGGGGAGGGUCACGCGAUACUGAUCGACUCGAAGGCAGGAGAGGGAAGUGGAAUUCCCGGUGUAGUGGUGAAAUGCGUAGAUAUCGGGAGGAACACCCGUGGCGAAGGCGGUUCUCUGGGACGGUACUGACGCUGAGACGCGAAAGCGUGGGGAGCGAACAGG